rnacentral:rRNA from 1 species
AGAGUUUGAUCCUGGCUCAGGACGAACGCUGGCGGCGUGCUUAACACAUGCAAGUCGAACGGAAAGGCCUUCGGGGUACUCGAGUGGCGAACGGGUGAGUAACACGUGGGUGAUCUGCCCUGCACUUUGGGAUAAGCCUGGGAAACUGGGUCUAAUACCGAAUAUGACCACGCUCUUCAUGGGGUGUGGUGGAAAGCUUUUGCGGUGUGGGAUGGGCCCGCGGCCUAUCAGCUUGUUGGUGGGGUAAUGGCCUACCAAGGCGACGACGGGUAGCCGGCCUGAGAGGGUGACCGGCCACACUGGGACUGAGAUACGGCCCAGACUCCUACGGGAGGCAGCAGUGGGGAAUAUUGCACAAUGGGCGCAAGCCUGAUGCAGCGACGCCGCGUGAGGGAUGACGGCCUUCGGGUUGUAAACCUCUUUCACCAGGGACGAAGCGCAAGUGACGGUACCUGGAGAAGAAGCACCGGCCAACUACGUGCCAGCAGCCGCGGUAAUACGUAGGGUGCGAGCGUUGUCCGGAAUUACUGGGCGUAAAGAGCUCGUAGGUGGUUUGUCGCGUUGUUCGUGAAAACUCACAGCUUAACUGUGGGCGUGCGGGCGAUACGGGCAGACUAGAGUACUGCAGGGGAGACUGGAAUUCCUGGUGUAGCGGUGGAAUGCGCAGAUAUCAGGAGGAACACCGGUGGCGAAGGCGGGUCUCUGGGCAGUAACUGACGCUGAGGAGCGAAAGCGUGGGGAGCGAACAGGAUUAGAUACCCUGGUAGUCCAA